GCAUCGACAGAUCAGUGGCAGAGUGGUGGGACGUUGAGCCAUGUGGCCUGGGUUCGAGCCACGGUCGAUGCA